rnacentral:rRNA from 1 species
AAUCAACGCUGGCGGUGUGCCUCAGACAUGCAAGUCGAACGCGAAAGUUCCCUUCGGGGGAUGAGUAGAGUGGCGCACGGGUGAGUAACACGUAGGUAAUCUACCUUUGGAUGGGGAAUAACAACCGGAAACGGUUGCUAAUACCGCAUAAUGCAGCGGCACCUAAAUGGUGACAGUUGUUAAAGCGGGGGAGUCGAAAGACCUCGCGUCUGAAGAGGAGCCUGCGGCGGAUUAGCUAGUUGGUAAGGUAACGGCUUACCAAGGCGACGAUCCGUAGCCGGCCUGAGAGGGCGGUCGGCCACACUGACACUGACAUACGGGUCAGACUCCUAC